rnacentral:rRNA from 1 species
GAUGAACGCUGGCGGCGUGCCUAAUACAUGCAAGUCGAGCGAACGGACGAGAAGCUUGCUUCUCUGAUGUUAGCGGCGGACGGGUGAGUAACACGUGGAUAACCUACCUAUAAGACUGGGAUAACUUCGGGAAACCGGAGCUAAUACCGGAUAAUAUUUUGAACCGCAUGGUUCAAAAGUGAAAGACGGUCUUGCUGUCACUUAUAGAUGGAUCCGCGCUGCAUUAGCUAGUUGGUAAGGUAACGGCUUACCAAGGCAACGAUGCAUAGCCGACCUGAGAGGGUGAUCGGCCACACUGGAGCUGAGACACGGUCCAGACUCCUACGGGAGGCAGCAGUAGGGAAUCUUCCGCAAUGGGCGGAAGCCUGACGGAGCAGCGCCGCGUGAGUGAUGAAGGUCUUCGGAUCGUAAAACUCUGUUAUUAGGGAAGAACAUAUGUGUAAGUAACUGUGCACAUCUUGACGGUACCUAAUCAGAAAGCCACGGCUAACUACGUG